CGCCGGGCGCCGCCAUGGCCCAAGGCCGCUCCGUGCCGUCGGCUUCCGGGCCCGCCGGCGCCACCCCUGCACCUGCCCCGCCCCUGCGCGCUCCGCGCCUCCCGGGUCUUUGCAACGCGGCAAUACCAAUAAUAAGUAUUCACAGAGUUUACAUCGAGCUAUCAAGAGCAGCCAUGCUUAAAUUUGCCUUCCACAAAGCACUAAGACACAUCAGCCAAGUGCUUUGCUGCAUUGUAGCAAGGAUAGCCUUUGUUCCAGUUUCUGAUGGUCAGUCCAAGGCCUCAAUAGAAUGGCCCUUCCCUCCCCAUUUCUACCCACAUUCUGAUCGCACCACCCACGUAAUCUCUAAGACGCAUGCAUUCUUCGGAGCCCUCACCAGGAUCGCCCUCAGUGUUCCGUGGCCAUGUACACUUCUCCUAGCACUUCUAAACUCUUCUAGCCUCUUCCUAUCGCCCAGUUUCAAAGCAGCGCCGGUCUUAGGGUUCUGUGGAGAAACAGAACCAGUUGGGUACAUGGAUAUCCAAGUGGACCUGUGAGGCGGAUGUUGAAACAGAACCAGUCGGGUACGUAGAUAUCCAAGUGGACCUGUGAGGGCGGAUGUUGAAACAGAACCAGUUGGGUACGUAGCUAUCCAAGUGGACCUGUGAGGCGGAUGUUGAAACAGAACCAGUCGGGUACAUGGAUAUCCAAGUGGACCUGUGAGGCCGAUGUUGGGGUAAUUGGCUCAUGUGAUGGUGGAGGCUCAGAAGUCCCACAGUGUGCUGUUUGCGAGCUGGAGAACUGGGGAAGCUGGUGAAAUGGCUCAGUCCCUGUCCGAGGGCUGAGAACCAGGGGUGCCAACAAUGCCUCUCUCAGUUUGAGGUGGAAAGUCUACAAGCCCCCAGGGCUUCCGGUACAAGCCUUGGAGUUUGCAGGCCAGAAAACUCGGACUUCUGAUAGCCAAGAGCGGAAGUCGCGUAUCCCGGAUUCAGAAGAGAGUGAGAGCAACACUGUCAUCUACUGUUUUUUUUGUUCUGGGUGGGCGCCCAGUUGAUUGAAUGGUGCCCAGUCAGGUUGGACGAGGGCAGCUAUUCCUGUAGGCUGUCCACUGAUUCAAAUGCCAAUCCCUCCCCAAGCCCCUUCACAAACAAACCCAGAGAUUACGCGUCAUCGGCUACUCAGGAAUCCCUCAUCCAGUCAAGUCCAUGCACAAAAUGAGCAUCCAGCGAAGGUGGAAGGGGUGAGGAGAGCAAGGGGCAGAGGGCGCCCACUGGCGGAUCCCCUUGGAAGGGCUGGUGCUGCUGACUUGAGGCCCACACCCGAGGGCCUGAUUUCCUGCAUGAGCUGGCUUGCGAAUGUUGCAGGCAGAACGUGAUUCUUAUUACCACCUUGACUCCUCAAGUCCAUCCUACUGCUUGUUUCUGUGCCAUUGCAUGAAAUUCUGGCCGCAUCUCACAGCAUUCCCACUCACAAGGACCUCACCUCCACAGCUAAGCCCCAGCUUGUUUAUUUAUUUGAAAGGCAGAGUUGCAGAGAGAGAGAGAGAGAGAGAGAGAGAGAGCGAGCGAGCGCUCCAUCCUCUGGUUCACUCCCCAGACGAAAAUCUCUUAGUUAAUUAAAACUGCAUUUGUCAUCAAGUUAAAAAUAAAGACAAGCCUUUAAAAAUUAACUAUAAAAAGGCGAAUGCUUUCAUACUUGUGGGGAGCAACUCGGACUAGACUGUUACUGGAAUUAAGACUUAUUCUAUGCAUCUGCUCUCCCACAAUAUGGCGCUGGGAGAGGAGGAAACAGCUUCUACACAGCUGCCUCCAGUUCAACCAAUAAACAGCAGGACCUGCUCCUGAUUGGAGGAGAGCAGCGUACUUGGCGUGUGGGUAGCAGAGUUGGGAUUGGCGGAAGAGGACUAUAAAGGAGGAGAGUGACAACAUGCACCAGGAACAUCUAUCUGAAGGAACACCUGGGCAGCCCCCGAGAGAGCCGGCCGGCGGUGUGCCGCUCCCCCGCGGAAGUGGGGAAAGUGGCAGGGGGAACUGCCCUUCCACGGAGGUGGAAGGGUCGGUAGCCAACCCGGGAAGAACCAGCAGUAAACCCGGGGAGGGCCGAGCAGACGAAAGAACAACGCAGGGUUUAGGGUGUUCCUCCGCGAAGAGGGGGAGCGACAUAAUGGUGCCGUGACUCAGAUAGGAAACCUAGGCAGGGUUUAGUGUCGUUCCUCCACGAAGAGGGGGAGCGACAAUACUGGAGGGAGGGAUGAUACUGUCUGAAGUCUUUUGUUUUUUAAGAUUCAUUUAUUUAUUCGAAAGUCAGAGUUACACACAGAGAGAGGAGAGGCAGAGGUAAAGAGAGAGAGAUGUCUUCCAUCUUCUGGUUCACUCCCCAGUUGGCAGCAAUGGCCGGAACUGUGCCUAUCCGAAGCCAGGAGCCAGGAGCUUCUUCCAGGUCUCCCAUGGGGUGCGGGGUGGGCCAUCCUCCACUGCUUUCCCAGGCCACAGCAGAGAGCUGGAUCAGAAGUAAAGCAGCCGGGACUUGAACCUUCGCCCUCAUGGAGGAUGUCAGCACUGCAGGCAGCGGCUUUACCUGCUACACCACAGCACGGGCCCCCGAAGCCUUUCAUGGAAUAUCUAUAUCCGUCUGGAUGACAAGCUUGAACGACAGGUGUGGUCCGUCACCCUUUGUUCUCUUUACUACCCUGGAGAACACACGUCGGCAGUGGGGAGUCACUGGUGCCUGUUUUCUGGGCUCCAUCAGGUGGGAAACCAAACAGCCUGUCACACAGAGGUUGUGCUAGAGGCUUCCUGUUCUAGUCUGGCUCCAUUUAGCCCUGAAAAUCAUAGUGAUCUGUUGCAUAUGGUGUAAAAAUAUGCCCAGCAACAUCCCCCUGGUUUUAUUCGUGAACAAAUGAAGAAAACCAUAGGUGGUUGGGGAAAAGCCAUCUCCUUAAUCAAUCAGAUCUCUUCUCUUCAUAUAAUGACUUGGGAACUUUCAGCCCCAAAGGAAUACAUUAGACAAUUUAUUUGAGAAUCAUUAAACCAGCUCAGUUUGACAUAUUCAAAACCAUCUUUACUCUACAUUUUCGGUAUCCGAGGGAGAUACUGUUUAGGAAGAGAAAUAUCAGUUUUUAUACUUGAAAUAAGAGUAUAAUGAAACAAACUCUCAUUUUUUUUAAAUGGCCAUAUGGCUGUAACAGCUGGAGCUGGGCCGAUCUGAAACCAGGAGCUAGGAGCUUCUCCUGGGUCUCCCACAAAGGUGCAGGGGCCAAAGGACUUGGGCCAUCUUCCACUGCUUUCCUAGGCCAUAAGCAGAGAGCUGGUUUGGAAGAGGAGCAGCCAGGACACCAAUUGGCAUCCAUAUGGGAUGAUGGCACCACAGGCAGAGGUUUAGCCUACUAUUCCACUGUGCCAGCCCCCAAAAUCUCAUUUUUGAUGUUUGUUUCAAUAAGUGCCUCAUUUUCAGUAUAAAAUAAUAUGAAAGGGGUUAGCGCUGUGGUGCAGCAGGUUAAUGCCCCAACCUGCAAUGUCGGCAUCCCAUAUGGGCACUGGUUCUAGUCCCAGCUGCUCCACUUCCGAUCCAGCUCUCUGCUAUGGCCUGGGAAAGCAGUAGAAGAUGGCCCACGUGCUUGGGCCCCUGUGCCCGCUUGGGAGACCCAGAAGAAGCUUUUGGCUCCUGGCUUCAGAUUGGCCCAGUCUCGGCCUUUGCGGCCAUUUGGGGAGUGAAUCAGCAGAUGGAAGACCUCUCUGUCUCUCCCCCUCUCUGUAGUUCUGCCUCUCCAGUGAAUAAAUAAAAUCUUUAAAUAAAUCCCAAUUGAGAAGAUACUCAGUUUUUAUGGGUAUUCCUAUCCUAGCUACCCUACUAGAGUACUAUCUUCCAUUAUCAGUAAUAUAUUAGUGAGGUAAAAAUACUCAAGAUGAAUUAAACGACAAAAUCUUUGCAGUACUGGUGCAACUUUUAAAAAUAUUAGGCCUAUUAAGAACAUAACAGGUUGUCAAUGAGAAAUCAAUGGAAUUCAAUAUUCCAUCUCAAAUUUUUGAAAUCUCUGUAAACGACUUGAUGACAUGUCCUUGGAAAUAGACAAACUGUCAAACAAUUGCUCGAUAAACUUUCAGAGAGCACCUACAGAUGUGGACAACGUAGGUAGGUGAUCAACAGCAUGUCAAUGGGAUGGAACCUAUCCUAGCCAUGGGCACAAACUCUUGAAGGCCACGAUGGCAGGCUUCCUAUCUAACAUAGCAACUUCAACACUUCCAGUAGACCCUGGUCUGUUUGCUUUCCUCUAGGCAGCACUGGCUGUCUUGAACAAGAAGUAUAUCUUUUUUAAAAAAUAUUUGUUUAUUUGAGGCUGGCACUACAGCUCAAUAGGUUAAUCCUCCGCCUUGCGGUGCCGGCACACCGGGUUCUAGUCCUGGUCAGGGUGCUGGAUUCUGUCCCGGUUGCCCUUCUUCCAGGCCAGCUCUCUGCUGUGGCCCGGGAGUGCAGUGGAGGAUGGCCCAAGUGCUUGGGCCCUGCACCCCAUGGGAGACCAGGAUAAGUACCUGGCUCCUGCCAUCGGAUCAGCGCAGUGCGCUGACCGCAGCGCACCGGCCGCGGUGGCCAUUGGAGGGUGAACCAACGGCAAAGGAAGACCUUUCUCUCUGUCUCUCUCUCUCUCACUGUCCACUCUGCCUCUCAAAAAAAAAUUUAUUUAUUUGAAAGAGUUACACAGAGAGAGAAUGAGAGGCAGAGAGAGACAAAGAUCUUCCAUCCACUGAUUCACUCCCCUAAUGGCUGCAACCAUCAGGGCUGGGCCAAGCUGAAGCCAGAAGCUUCAUCCGGGUCUCCCACGUAGGUGCAGGGUCCCAAGCACUUGGAGCAUCAUCUGCUGCUUUCCCGGGCACAGUAGCAGGGAGCUGGGUGGGAAAUGGAGCAGCUGGGUCUGGAACCAGUGCCCCUAUGGGAUACCAGCGUCACAGGUGGCAGCUUUAACCUGCUACCCCACAAUCUGGCCCCGAACUUACUGUGUGUUAACUUGAUACAAAAGUUUGAAAAAAAAAAAAAAAGCCACAGGAAGGGAAUCUCCCACCAGGGCAGACUCCUGAUUGAGAGGGAAAGGAGGAGAAAUGAAUUGCGGCUGAACGAAGGGUGAAUCACCCGGCGGCUGCUCAGCCUGCGGGGAGCUGGAGCAGCGCUGCCUCACUAACCCACAUGCCUCUGUGUGCGCUGUAGCCGGCUUCAGUGCGACCCUGCGCGGAGGAGCCUGGAUCCCAAACAGGAAGCACUCCGUUUGAAGUGACUGCUCCUCACCGUGUGUGUGGGAGUACCACUGUCAGAAGCAGACAGGAACAAGGGGGAAAAAGGAAACGGAAGAAGAGCUCACAUCCAAGUGAAAAGAUUCUUUGCUGCAGUCCUGACUACUUACUGGCCUCCAUGCUGGGUGACUGAAUGUCUUUUACCCUCACUGGUCAGACAACUGUUGCACAGAGACACUAAGCAACUUCCUGAGGUCACACAGCAUAUAAGUGGUCUACCCAGGCAUUCUGGCUCCCGAACCCGUGCCUGUACCCUGCGAGCACCAGUGGCCCUCCCUCAGAGCGCUUCCUGAAGGAGAAGAGUCUGAGGGCCAGUGCUGUGGCAUAGCAGGUUACACCGCUGCCUGCAGUGCUGGCAUCCCAUACGGGCAUCGAUUCAUGUCCUGGCUGCUCCUCUCCUGAUCCAGCUCUCUGCUAUGGCCUGGGAAGGCAGUAGACGAUGGCCCAAGCACUUGGACCCUGCACCCAUGUGGGACACCUGGAAGAAGCUCUUGGCUCCUGGCUUUGGAUUGGCCCAGCUUUGGCCAUUACAGCCAUCUGGGGAGUGAACCAGCGGGUGGAAGACCUCUCUCUGUUUCUCUCCCCUCACCCCAUCUGUAACUCUGUCUCUCAAAUAAAUAAAUAAAGUAUUUUAAAAUAUUUCUUAAAAGUGUAAAUUCCUUUUUGGGGAAAAAUGCAAUAGAAAUGUGCCUAGUAUUGUGGGGAAAUUGAAAAAGAAAAAGAAAAAUUACUUUUGC